AAAUUGAAGAGUUUGAUCAUGGCUCAGAUUGAACGCUGGCGGCAGGCCUAACACAUGCAAGUCGAACGGUAACAGGAAGCAGCUUGCUGCUUUGCUGACGAGUGGCGGACGGGUGAGUAAUGUCUGGGAAACUGCCCGAUGGAGGGGGAUAACUACUGGAAACGGUAGCUAAUACCGCAUAACGUCGCAAGACCAAAGAGGGGGACCUUCGGGCCUCUUGCCAUCGGAUGUGCCCAGAUGGGAUUAGCUAGUAGGUGGGGUAAAGGCUCACCUAGGCGACGAUCCCUAGCUGGUCUGAGAGGAUGACCAGCCACACUGGAACUGAGACACGGUCCAGACUCCUACGGGAGGCAGCAGUGGGGAAUAUUGCACAAUGGGCGCAAGCCUGAUGCAGCCAUGCCGCGUGUAUGAAGAAGGCCUUCGGGUUGUAAAGUACUUUCAGCGGGGAGGAAGGGAGUAAAGUUAAUACCUUUGCUCAUUGACGUUACCCGCAGAAGAAGCACCGGCUAACUCCGUGCCAGCAGCCGCGGUAAUACGGAGGGUGCAAGCGUUAAUCGGAAUUACUGGGCGUAAAGCGCACGCAGGCGGUUUGUUAAGUCAGAUGUGAAAUCCCCGGGCUCAACCUGGGAACUGCAUCUGAUACUGGCAAGCUUGAGUCUCGUAGAGGGGGGUAGAAUUCCAGGUGUAGCGGUGAAAUGCGUAGAGAUCUGGAGGAAUACCGGUGGCGAAGGCGGCCCCCUGGACGAAGACUGACGCUCAGGUGCGAAAGCGUGGGGAGCAAACAGGAUUAGAUACCCUGGUAGUCCACGCCGUAAACGAUGUCGACUUGGAGGUUGUGCCCUUGAGGCGUGGCUUCCGGAGCUAACGCGUUAAGUCGACCGCCUGGGGAGUACGGCCGCAAGGUUAAAACUCAAAUGAAUUGACGGGGGCCCGCACAAGCGGUGGAGCAUGUGGUUUAAUUCGAUGCAACGCGAAGAACCUUACCUGGUCUUGACAUCCACGGAAGUUUUCAGAGAUGAGAAUGUGCCUUCGGGAACCGUGAGACAGGUGCUGCAUGGCUGUCGUCAGCUCGUGUUGUGAAAUGUUGGGUUAAGUCCCGCAACGAGCGCAACCCUUAUCCUUUGUUGCCAGCGGUCCGGCCGGGAACUCAAAGGAGACUGCCAGUGAUAAACUGGAGGAAGGUGGGGAUGACGUCAAGUCAUCAUGGCCCUUACGACCAGGGCUACACACGUGCUACAAUGGCGCAUACAAAGAGAAGCGACCUCGCGAGAGCAAGCGGACCUCAUAAAGUGCGUCGUAGUCCGGAUUGGAGUCUGCAACUCGACUCCAUGAAGUCGGAAUCGCUAGUAAUCGUGGAUCAGAAUGCCACGGUGAAUACGUUCCCGGGCCUUGUACACACCGCCCGUCACACCAUGGGAGUGGGUUGCAAAAGAAGUAGGUAGCUUAACCUUCGGGAGGGCGCUUACCACUUUGUGAUUCAUGACUGGGGUGAAGUCGUAACAAGGUAACCGUAGGGGAACCUGCGGUUGGAUCACCUCCUUACCUUAAAGAAGC
rnacentral:rRNA from 1 species